AGAGUUUGAUCCUGGCUCAGGACGAACGCUGGCGGCGUGCUUAACACAUGCAAGUCGAACGGUGAAGGGACCGGUUUUUGCUGGUUCUGGAUGAGUGGCGAACGGGUGAGUAACACGUGAGUAACCUGCCCCCUUCUUCUGGAUAACCGCAUGAAAGUGUGGCUAAUACGGGAUAUUCUGCGCCUGCUGCAUGGUGGGUGUGGGAAAGAUGCGCCUUUGGGUGUUUUUGGUGGGGGAUGGGCUCGCGGCCUAUCAGCUUGUUGGUGGGGUGAUGGCCUACCAAGGCGGUGACGGGUAGCCGGCCUGAGAGGGUGGACGGUCACACUGGGACUGAGACACGGCCCAGACUCCUACGGGAGGCAGCAGUGGGGAAUAUUGCACAAUGGGCGCAAGCCUGAUGCAGCGACGCCGCGUGAGGGAUGGAGGCCUUCGGGUUGUAAACCUCUUUCGCCAGUGAAGCAGGCCUGUCCCUUGUGGGUGGGUUGACGGUAGCUGGAUAAGAAGCGCCGGCUAACUACGUGCCAGCAGCCGCGGUAAUACGUAGGGCGCGAGCGUUGUCCGGAAUUAUUGGGCGUAAAGAGCUCGUAGGCGGCUGGUCGCGUCUGUCGUGAAAUCCUCUGGCUUAACUGGGGGCUUGCGGUGGGUACGGGCCGGCUUGAGUGCGGUAGGGGAGACUGGAACUCCUGGUGUAGCGGUGGAAUGCGCAGAUAUCAGGAAGAACACCGGUGGCGAAGGCGGGUCUCUGGGCCGUUACUGACGCUGAGGAGCGAAAGCGUGGGGAGCGAACAGGAUUAGAUACCCUGGUAGUCCACGCCGUAAACGUUGGGCACUAGGUGUGGGGGGCCUUUUCCGGGUCUUCCGCGCCGUAGCUAACGCAUUAAGUGCCCCGCCUGGGGAGUACGGCCGCAAGG
rnacentral:rRNA from 1 species